rnacentral:tRNA from 1 species
UACAUUUUAGUAUAUGUGUACAUAGGCCUUUGAUGCUUAGGGGAAUAAUUAGGUUUAUUAAGUGUAU